UACGUAGGUGGCAAGCGUUGUCCGGAUUUAUUGGGCGUAAAGCGCGCGCAGGCGGCUAUGUAAGUCUGAUGUUAAAGCCCGAGGCUCAACCUCGGUUCGCAUUGGAAACUGUGUAGCUUGAGUGCAGAAGAGGAAAGCGGUAUUCCACGUGUAGCGGUGAAAUGCGUAGAGAUGUGGAGGAACACCAGUGGCGAAGGCGGCUUUCUGGUCUGUAACUGACGCUGAGGCGCGAAAGCGUGGGGAGCAAACA
rnacentral:rRNA from 1 species